rnacentral:lncRNA from 1 species
GUUUUGUUUUUAGGCUUUGAAAUGUUAUUCUUUGAACGAGUUUUCAUAGGAUGGAGAUUCGGGUUUGGUUGUGGAGCUGGAGCUGGUGGAGGUGGGGUUGGAGAUGGAGGGGAAGAGGAUGUAGAGGGUGAGGUAGAAGAGCCUUGGCUCGGUGAGGUCUAGGAAUUAAGGGAUGCGGUAGGUUGGGUAUGUGAUGAUGUUUGUGGUUGAGGUUCAGGAGCUUGUUGCGUCUGAAGCACCGGAGGAGUGUGGUGUUGUUGUGGUGAUAUCGGAGACGGAAUCGC